rnacentral:rRNA from 1 species
GACGAACGCUGGCGGCGUGCUUAACACAUGCAAGUCGAACGGAAAGGCCCUGCUUUUGUGGGGUGCUCGAGUGGCGAACGGGUGAGUAACACGUGAGUAACCUGCCCUUGACUUUGGGAUAACUUCAGGAAACUGGGGCUAAUACCGGAUAGGAGCUCCUGCUGCAUGGUGGGGGUUGGAAAGUUUCGGCGGUUGGGGAUGGACUCGCGGCUUAUCAGCUUGUUGGUGGGGUAGUGGCUUACCAAGGCUUUGACGGGUAGCCGGCCUGAGAGGGUGACCGGCCACAUUGGGACUGAGAUACGGCGCAGACUCCUACGGGAGGCAGCAGUGGGGAAUAUUGCACAAUGGGCGGAAGCCUGAUGCAGCAACGCCGCGUGCGUGAUGACGGCCUUCGGGGUGUAAACCGCUUUCGCCUGUGACGAAGCGUGAGUGACGGUAAUGGGUAAAGAAGCACCGGCUAACUACGUG